AGCCCACCGCCACCAUUGAAGGCAGCCUGUAUGUAUCCCUCAGGUAAACCCAAGUUCUCAUCCAUCACUGCCAUCACUUUUGCAGCUAGCUUCUUCAGCUCCGAUCUAUACUCUGCCAUGGUUUCCCUGCCACAAUAUCCGAAUGUUGGAGGGCCAUUCGUUGUUAUCAUGGAGAAGGAAGACAUCUUCCCAAUCAAGACUUUCCAGCUUCUCGCCGCUCUUGCGUUCCAGCAAAUCAUUCAGGAGCUUCACAGGAGCUCUUCUGGAAUCCCAUGGUUCACCAGCUGAAAUUCAGAUUUAUUGAUGAUACUAUGGUAAACUCAUGGCCGUGGCAUAAUUCUUGUUAAGCUGGCAAGGUGGAAUUACGCAACCCUCAACUGAGGUAAGUCUUUAAUCCUUCUAAAUGUUUAUGAUAUCGUCAAAAUUUGAAUUUUCUUUUAGGUGGGUUUACUAUGCUAUCACGUUUAAUCAAUCAAUAGGAAGGGUGUAAUCGAGCGUUUUUAAAUGGUAAGGACUAAAUUGAAAUAUUACCUAAAUAUUAAGAACUAAAAUGUUUGAUAAGGUUAAUAGGCAUGAUAUUAAUCUUUACUUAAAACAUAAAUCUAUGCUGACUACCUACUGUUGAUUAUGUUGACUUUUGAUCUUCUAGGUCCUAACUAUUUUAUGUUGACUUUGAUUAUCAAUGGUUUACCUAAAUAUUUAAUUACUUCUUACACUAAUUUGAAGGCAUAGUUUGUGGGUUAAGGAAAAUAGGCUGCAUCGUAUCAUGGCUUUUAAGUUUUAAUAUACAUAAAGGGAAAUAACCUUAAUUAUUGGAUUAAAUAUUAAUAAAAUAUUUAAUAGAUAAUCAUAAAUUACACACUUUUGGUUGGCCUAUUUUUGUAAAUCACCCUAUUUUAAAAUAAUUUUUAACACUUUAUGUGGAGUGGGAGACAAACAAAUCACAGAUUGAAAUAGAAAUUAAAUAUAAAUAAUUUCAAAAUCAAAUUCAUAUCAAUGAGUCAAGUGGGAAGGAAAAAGCCAUAUAGAUGCUUCCAAGUGCAACUAAAAAACUAGAAAAAAAAUUAUAAAAUGUCUUAUUUAUUCAUUUAUUUUAAAUAAAUGAUUGUAAUUGUUAGGCUUUAUUUUUAUUAUUUUCUAUUAUUUUUUUAUGUUUUAAAAUAAAGGGGAAUAAUGACCCAUAAUUCAUUAUGCAUUGCAAUGUAUACUUGGCAAAUCCAUAUCCUUUGGAUUUGAUUCCAAGUGUUGCAAGUUUAGGGCCCCAAGUAUCUGUAUAAAAAUUUAAAAUACAA